rnacentral:rRNA from 1 species
AUGGCUCAGAUUGAACGCUGGCGGCAGGCCUAACACAUGCAAGUCGAGCGGAAACGACAACACUGAAUCUUUGGAGGAUGGGUUGGGUGUCGAGCGGCGGACGGGUGAGUAAUGCCUAGGAAGUUGCCCAAUAGAGGGGGAUAACCAUUGGAAACGAUGGCUAAUACCGCAUAAUCUCCUUGGAGCAAAGCAGGGGACCGAAUGGCCUUGCGCUAUUGGAUAUGCCUAGGUGAGAUUAGCUUGUUGGUGAGGUAAUGGCUCACCAAGGCGACGAUCUCUAGCUGGUCUGAGAGGAUGAACAGCCACACUGGAACUGAGACACGGUCCAGACUCCUACGGGAGGCAGCAGUGGGGAAUAUUGCACAAUGGGCGGAAGCCUGAUGCAGCCAUGUCGCGUGUGUGAAGAAGGCCUUAGGGUUGUAAAGCACUUUCAACAGUAAGGAAGGAUGUAUGCUUAAUACGUAUAUAUUUUGACGUUAGCUGUAGAAGAAGCACCGGCUAACUCCGUGCCAGCAGCCGCGGUAAUACGGAGGGUGCGAGCGUUAAUCGGAAUUACUGGGCGUAAAGCGCAUGCAGGUGGUUCGAUAAGUCAGAUGUGAAAGCCCGGGGCUUAACCUCGGAACUGCAUUUGAAACUAUAGAGCUGGAGUACUGUAGAGGGGGGUGGAAUUUCAGGUGUAGCGGUGAAAUGCGUAGAGAUCUGAAGGAAUACCGGUGGCGAAGGCGGCCCCCUGGACAGAUACUGACACUCAGAUGCGAAAGCGUGGGGAGCAAACAGGAUUAGAUACCCUGGUAGUCCACGCUGUAAACGAUGUCUACUUGGAGGUUGUGGCUUUGAGCUGUGGCUUUCGUAGCUAACGCGUUAAGUAGACCGCCUGGGGAGUACGGUCGCAAGAUUAAAACUCAAAUGAAUUGACGGGGGCCCGCACAAGCGGUGGAGCAUGUGGUUUAAUUCGAUGCAACGCGAAGAACCUUACCUACUUUUGACAUCCAAAGAAGCCAGUGGAGACAUUGGUGUGCCUUCGGGAACUUUGAGACAGGUGCUGCAUGGCUGUCGUCAGCUCGUGUUGUGAAAUGUUGGGUUAAGUCCCGCAACGAGCGCAACCCUUAUCCUUGUUUGCCAGCGAGUAGUGUCGGGAACUUCAGGGAGACUGCCGGUGAUAAACCGGAGGAAGGUGGGGACGACGUCAAGUCAUCAUGGCCCUUACAAGUAGGGCUACACACGUGCUACAAUGGCACAUACAGAGGGUUGCAAACUAGCGAUGGUAAGCGAAUCCCAAAAAGUGUGUCGUAGUCCGGAUUGGAGUCUGCAACUCGACUCCAUGAAGUCGGAAUCGCUAGUAAUCGUAGAUCAGAACGCUACGGUGAAUACGUUCCCGGGCCUUGUACACACCGCCCGUCACACCAUGGGAGUGGGCUGCAAAAGAAGUGGGUAG